UACGAAGGGGGGCUAGCGUUGUUCGGAAUUACUGGGCGUAAAGCGUGCGCAGGCGGCUGCUCAAGUCAGGGGUGAAAGCCCAGAGCUCAACUCUGGAAUUGCCUUUGAGACUGAGUGGCUUGAGUACGGGAGAGGUGAGUGGAAUUCCCAGUGUAGAGGUGAAAUUCGUAGAUAUUCGCAAGAACACCAGUGGCGAAGGCGGCUCACUGGCCCGAUACCUGACGCUGAGGCACGAAAGCGUGGGGAGCAAACAGGG
rnacentral:rRNA from 1 species